UGGUGCCGGUCAGAGUAUGUGGCUUGGGCUGUAUGAGGCACCUAAUCACCAGGGCUACUUUCAACCCUGGACAACUUGUCAGUGGCCAGUCAUGAUCUCUCCAUUGCCCUUUUCAUUGAUCUCUUCACUGAACAAUUACAUGGUGAGCAUGUUCUAGUAUGAGUCCACAACUCUAAAGGGAUGACCAGGGCUGCACACAGGAGGUUUGUGAUCAAGGGAAAACCCAUAUCCCUCUCCCAGGAGCAAGACCCCAUCAAGAUCAAAUGGAGCAAUUCUAAUACUGACUAUGUGGAGGAGUCUACAACUCCCUUAAGAAAUUUGAGACUCUCCUGAAGGGAACCACUGCUGAUAGACACAUGUAUAUCAUGAGAAGCGUGAAAACUCCCUCGAGACUGUCAGCAGUGCCCAGCCCACCACCAACUACUUACCACCCAAGCCCCCCAGCCAAGACUAUCCACAACAAUCAUGGCCUAGUGGAGGUACUCAUGACCACAGCGCACACCAACACUACGUCCCAGGAGCCUGCCCCUCUAACAAAGUGAAGUGUGAUGGCCUUGCUCACAACAUAAUCCAACAUCCAUGGACACUGCCAAGGUCAGUGGUCAAGUGGCAAGGUCAUCUCUGAGCUUAAUAGGAGCACGCUCAGUGCUCCUAUUUUAGACGGAGUCUCACUCAGUCGCCCAGGCUGGAGUGCAGUGGCGCGAUCUCGGCUCACUGCAAGCUCCACCUCCCAGGUUCACGCCAUUCUCCUGGCUCAGCCUCCCGAGUAGCUGGGACUACAGGCACCCGCUAAUUUUUUUGUAUUUUCAGUACAGACAGGGUUUCACUGUGUUAGCCAGGAUGGUCUUGAUCUCCUGACCUCGUGAUCCGCCCAUCUCGGCCUCCCAAAGUGCUGGGAUUACAGGCGUAAGCCACCACGCUCGGCCGCACACUGGCAAGCUUUCUAUGUCACCAUCCCAACACACAUCAUUCAGGGAUAUGACCUAGUGUCUAGAGGAAGCCAAUUAUCAUGACCUCAAGAAGGUGGUGAUGCAGUAACUAAAGGACUCCUUGGAAGGUGUCCUGAGCCACGGGGAGGCCCAAGUCAACUGCAAUCAAGAUGUCCAUGAAAAGGGGGAAACAGUCAAGAGAUGACCAUGGAAAGGUGGAAACGUUCAACAGAGGUGUCCACAGAAAGGUGGAAACAUUCAACAGAGGUGUCCACGGAAAGGUGGAAACAUUUGAUGCUGGCGCUGGCAUUUACCUUCGACAACUACUUUGUCAAGGUAAUAUCCAGGUAUGA
rnacentral:lncRNA from 1 species